AGUUACCCGUGGUCCAGAAAGCAGAUGAUCGUCUUUCUCACGUAUUGUCAGAAGGUCUGUCUGUGAGAUAUGCUGCAGGUGCUUGCCAGAAGUGGGAUUGCUGUAUGAAGGAGAAAAUCUUGCUAGAGAAAACCAUGCCAAGCCUGAAAACAUUGGGGACCCGACGCCAAGUUCAACAAGCCAGGGAACUUUCUGGCAGAAAUGAUUCCAUCUGUAACAAGGCAGUCUCGUGGGCUGGAGCUCACAAUUGGCAGGAAGUUACAGAGCCAUAACUCAGAUGGGAUAAGAUUCAUCAUUGGGCCCCUGGACUUCUCACCUAGGAUCCCAAGAAUGCACCUUUGAAGCCUUUGUCUUCCCUCCUGCCUAAUAGAUUGGGGAUCUGUGGGAGAGUAUGACUCUGGAACCAGUGCUUCAGACAGACAUUGUUGAAGCUGCCAGACUGCAACAGGAUAUAAACCUGAGGAUGUUAUUUGUGUGGGAUUCUACAACUUCAUCACUGGAUCAAGUGGACAUACAAGGACCUGCACAUUUGAUCCUAGCUCCUCCCCAAACCCGCCACACACGGAUUCAUCAUCCUCAUUUUUGUGCUACCGACCUUUGCACAUGCCACUUCCUUUGCCUGGAAAGGAUUUUCUGAUUCUGGUUGCUUGGCAAAGCCCAGUCAUCCUUCAAAAACCAACUCCAAGGUCACCUCCUCUGUGAAGCAUCCCCUGAAAGAGGAUUAGCUCUGUCAUCUCUACACUCAUUCACCCACACGUGCUUAUUGAGUGCUGUCCCUUCCCUUCAGCCAAGACCACCAGGAACAUGCCAGCAGUGAAACAAGACUCUCCCUUCCUAGAGGCCCUCCAUUUUUCGACCUCACUGAGUGCUCCAUGUGACCAAGGCUAAGAGUCAGAAUGGGGAAAAUUGCAACUGGACAAUGUAAGAGAAAAUAAAGUGGGGUAAAAGGUCACCAUUGCAGAGUUCUCCAGGAUACUUAAAGAUCAUAAUUUGGAAACACAUCUGGAGGUAAGACGGGACUGAGCAUUACAUCUUGCUAGGACACAUUAUUUCUAUUUUUAUCUGUGUAAUCGACUUGGUGUAUGAAGUAGAAGCAAAUCACUCUUCUCUGCCUGAUUCCCCACAUAAGAAGGCAAAGAUAAUUUCCACCAAAUGUUGGAAAGGCUGUACUGGAUUAAUUACUGACUCAAAUUCUGGCAUGAGGAUAUCGGCUAAAACUCAGUUUUUGAUCUAUUUGCAACAGUAUGCUCUGGGGAUGCUGCCCUUCCUGAAUUUUCUCUCAUCUUGCCAGCUGAAAGAGUUGGUCUUCUUGUGAGAAGCCAAUCUGUAUCUAUUUAACAAGUAAUAUGAAUUAUGUACCCGAUAAUGGUUUUCUUUUUCCUUUGGCUGUGUACAAAGGGCAGAGGCAAACUGCUCAGUGCUUGGAAACAUGUAGAAUUUUCAAGGCAUGCCUUUGAUGUCCUAACCUCACCAUGGCCAUGCACUUUCUAUUCUAUUUUCUUUCCUUGCCUACCCUCAUUUAUCUUUAGUGGAUUGUAUCUCGCUGAAUUGUAUCCAUCUUUGUAAGACAACCUCAGUCCUUCCUGGAACAGCACAAAUAAAUGGAUACAGACGGCAGUGUUUCUGUGGUAGACUUGAUUCUUCACUUUCAGAGCAGUGCAUUGAGUUACUGACAUGCACCAUUGUCCCAUUACCUUCUUAAUGAACUAACGUAGCAGAGGCCCUUUUAAGGCAAAAAGUUAAAUAUUAAGUUCCAGAGUUCCUAGCUGAGAGAAGUUGUAAUUUCAGAACUGGUUGAUCAAGAAAUGUAUUUUGAAUGGUGGCUAGGGGCAGGGGCUAGGAAGUGGGUGAAACGGAUGAAGGGGGUCAAAGGUACAAACUUCCAUGUGCAACAUGGUGAUGAGAGUUAACAAUACUGGACUGAGAGUUAACAAUACUGGACUUAUAUUUGAAAGUUGAUAAGAAAGUAGAUAAAAGUUCCCAUCACAAGAAAAAAACAUUGUGGGGUGCUUCGGUGGUUGACUCUUGAUUUUUGGCUCAGGUCAUGAUCUUAGAGUCAUGAAACUGAGUCCUUCAUUAGGCUGUUAUGCUCAACAGGAAGUCUACUUGAGAUCCUCUCCGGCUCCCUCUGCCUCUUCCCCUGCUUACCCGCGCUCUCUCUCUAAAAUAAAUAAAUGAGAUCUUAAAAAAAGAAAAUAAAAAUUUUGCUAACUAUGCGAGGUGAUGGGCACUAACUAAACUUACUGUGGUGGUUAUUUCAUAGUAUAUACAAAUACCAAAUCAUUGUGUUGUGCACCUUAAACAACUAUUAUGCUACAUGUCCAUUAUGUCUCAAUACAAAAAUGUACGAAUGACCCAAAAAAUCAGAUACACAUUUCAACAGUAAUUGAGUCAUCAGAAACAUUAGUGAGUAAUCAGGAAGUUGUGUUUGCUGAAAUGAAAAGUAUCAGAUGUGAGGCAGUCCUGAUGUUUUAAUAUUGGCUUGUUAUACACAUUCCUAUCCAUUACCCUUACUGUAUUUUGGCUUUUGCUUUUGUAAAAUAUAGACACAGUAUAGAGUAGAGAUCAAGGAAAGGAAAUCAUUUGUGCAAGUACAUUAAUACAAAUAAGUACAACUUAAUACAAAUUAAUCAGUAUGGAUUAAUACCAAUAAAUCCAUGAUGGUCAGGGCUGAAAAAAAAAAAGAAAAAACAUAUGCUGACAGUUUACUUGAUUUUGCUAAUGUUUUAAGAUGAGUUUUUAUUUUAUUAAAAUAUAAUACAGAACCAAAAUUAAUGAAUUUAUAAUUUAUCAAUUAUAUCUUAUUAAUCACAACCAAUCCAUAUACAUUUGAAAAAUAGGUGCAUAUAUUUUGCAACUAUCCAGUUUGAAUAUCAGUAUUGUCUGUUGAGCAUAUGGAGUAGAAGACUCCUUGCAGAACUUCAUGGUGCCUCAGAGGUUGAUCAUUCCCGCUAGGAACCUGACACUCUACCUGUGCUCUGUUUUCAAGGCAUAUUUGGUUAGAUGCUAGUGCCCUCAGGUAUGCACUAGAGUGUUUCCUUUUUGUGAAAAAUGGAAAACAAUUGGCAUGACCUCAACCUUUACUCAUAGAAUUUCCCUUCUACCUUACCAGACAUGCAUCAAAAUUCCUUUGUUAAAUUUGAAUGAUGUUUAAAUCAGUCCAUAUGGGCUUUGAGAUUUUAAACUUGCUAAAUGUUCUGAUACAAUAUUUUGUUUUCACCCAUUGUAUAUAAUUUAACACUAUUCCUAUUCAAGAAUAGAUCUAAGAAGGCAAGGAUCUCAUUUUGUAAAAAGGAAACUGAAAGGGAAGUGAAUGCCUUCACUGAGGUGGUGUUUCAAGGUAGAGACUGACCUGAGACUAGACCUUUAUUUCUUAAAAUAAAUUCUGUUGCUUUUUGCUUUAUCUUAUGUUGACUAAGGGCUGUCUCUUUAAAAAAAUAAAAAUCUUUUUAAGUAAACAAGUUCCCAGUGACCCCUUCAUUUCUCAUCCUCCCGCUGUCCCCCAAUGAAAUAUCAGUCCUGUGUACAGACAGACCUGUCUCUCUCUAUUCUUCAACAUCUUUGCCUCCCACUGGGGUCUCAAAAUCCCUCUACCGUCUACAUUCAUUAAGAAAUCAA